UAAGAGACUGAGCGGCGGACGGGUGAGUAACGCGUGGGUACCUGCCUCAUACAGGGGGAUAACAGUUAGAAAUGACUGCUAAUACCGCAUAAGACCGCAUGGUAAAAACUCCGGUGGUAUGAGAUGGACCCGCGUCUGAUUAGCUAGUUGGUAAGGUAACGGCUUACCAAGGCGACGAUCAGUAGCCGACCUGAAGGGUGACCGGCCACAUUGGGACUGAGACACGGCCCAAACUCCUACGGGAGGCAGCAGUGGGGAAUAUUGCACAAUGGGGGAAACCCUGAUGCAGCGACGCCGCGUGAGCGAUGAAGUAUUUCGGUAUGUAAAGCUCUAUCAGCAGGGAAGAAAAUGACGGUACCUGACUAAGAAGCCCCGGCUAACUACGUGCCAGCAGCCGCGGUAAUACGUAGGGGGCAAGCGUUAUCCGGAUUUACUGGGUGUAAAGGGAGCGUAGACGGCAUGGCAAGCCAGAUGUGAAAGCCCGGGGCUCAACCCCGGGACUGCAUUUGGAACUGUCAGGCUAGAGUGUCGGAGAGGAAAGCGGAAUUCCUAGUGUAGCGGUGAAAUGCGUAGAUAUUAGGAGGAACACCAGUGGCGAAGGCGGCUUUCUGGACGAUGACUGACGUUGAGGCUCG
rnacentral:rRNA from 1 species